rnacentral:lncRNA from 1 species
UGGUACACGGGGUUUCGACAGCCCAACACCCUCAAUUCCCCUUCGAUCCACUUGUUUCCACGCGGUUCAGAAGGCUCCAAGGGGGGGGGGGGCUCGAGGAUUUGGAGACGCCGCCGCCCGACUCCUCUCCAAGACUCCGCCGUCCAGCGCCUCCCCAAGACGCCGCAGCUCGACGCCUCGACGCCGGCGUACCUCCUCCGGCGUACUGGAUUUCUCUCCGGUGGUAUGUCCUCGCCUCCCCUCCUUUCCCCUUGUCGUCUAGGGUUUGCCAUCGGCCAUGGCUGCUGCCUCUUCCUCCCGAGGUGCCGGCCGUCAACCAAGUUGUGCGCGACGAUGUAGGGCUCGGUGCCGUAGUUGCCGGACUUGUAGUAGAGGUGGAGCAGCACGGAGCAACGUCCACAUCCCUUUGCCUGAACUUACCAUCUGCAUCUGUUUCCGUGGAUCGACUGAGGAUCUGUACAUGUUGAACUACCAAACAGACUGUGCUACAAUGGUUAAUUUGACCACUUGCAUGCUUCCUUAGUUCCUUUGUUUUCUGGAGCUCGUGUGUACCUGAAUUUUGAGUCGUUCUUGUUCAUACUGAAUGAGCAUUGCGGUUUAGAUAGGUAUACAGUGUGCUGGUACAAUGCUUGCAGAGUUGCAGUCCAGUAGUUUGAGGACUAGCAAGCGUGUGCUUUGUUCUAAAUUACAGUACAGUACAUGAAUUUGAAAAAAAGAAAACGGUGUGUUAUCAAUUAGGCAUUCUUCUGCUUUCAUAUGUUACCUCAGCAAAGGUACUAGAGUGCUUGCAGAUUGGUAAUUAGAGGACUUUGUACCAUUGCGCUAGUUUCUGAACUCGAGAAGUACCUGAAUUUUGAGUUGUUCGUCACUCAUGAAUGAAGGUACUAGAAUGUUUUACCUUGACACUUGUUUUGGUCCCCACCUGUUUUGCUCUGCUUUUGAAAUAUUUGCGAGCUGAUCCGCCCCGUGGUCUCUGCUUCAUUCUGUGUAUUAAGUAGUCUUCUCGAUAUUUAUCAAUUGUUAUGCCUCAUAUCACCACUUGUUGAGCUGGAGAAUUGAUUUGUUAUACUGGCAGCCAGCCUAUACAUUGGUUUGUCUGUCUUGACGAAUUACUAGUUUGUAAUCUGGAAAGCAUCUUUCUUUAAAGAAUUAUUCCUGGAACAGUUUGUUAGCUCAUGAUAAGGAAAUCUGAAAUGCCUCCAAAGAUUCAACUGUCCACCUAUUUUGGGGUUCAAGGGAAAAGAAGGAAAACUCCAAAAAUGCCCCACACUCACAUGCCCCCAGACCCAAGAGAGACAAUUCCUAUGAGAGAUCAAGGUCAAAGAUCUGAUUAGGAUAGGCAGGCCGUAUACAGGGCCACUCUCUGGUCCUUCCAGCUGAGUUAAUCCAACUAUAUAUAAUUGUGCCUGUGCAUGUCCAUCCAACUAUAUAUAAUUGUGCAGCUGAUUUAGAUAAAUCAAGUUUCAUGUGCCAUGCAUGUCGAUAAUCAUUUUUAUUUAUAAAUUAAUAGAGUCAAACUCUACGAGCUCUCUGUUUUCUUUCAUAUAAAAGUACUCUGCGCGUUUAUUGUCCCUUUUGAGAACACUGUUUGCGGAUAAAUCAGGCUAGUCUAGAACCAUGCGUGUUUCAGAUAAACCUUUGUCAACAUACAUAUAUGCAAACUGUAUGAUCUAUCUAAACCUUUGUCCUUUUUCAACUUUGCUGCCCGUGGGCAUGCUUGUGCUGCUGUACAGACUUGUUUGUGCAUGGAGUUGUGCUUGCAAUGUAGGGUCUAGAGGCAUGUAUAAGGCACAAACAGCAGCUCAAUGGCAAUUUUCUUUUAUAAAUGGGAAGAAGACGUUUGGACUCUUUUCCUUUUGUGAGAAGGGAUCUUUCGUUUUAUGCUAAACUGAACAUGCUUGGAUUAUGGUAGCCAUCCAGACUCUCAUUUUGCUUUUGUUUUAUGAUCAGGUUCUCAGGCAACCAGAGAAGCAAGAUUAAACAAUUUGGACAAACUAUUGGCCAUUCAAAAACUGGAUGAUCAUGACAUCAUCAAGAGCAAUUCAUAUGUAUGACAACAUCAUUCUCAGUGGUCUGUAAAAAUAUAACUAAUUGUGAGCUAUUGCACAAGUACCCUGUGUUGCAUUAUGUUUGUUGCAAAAUUAUGGUGUUGCUGUGAAAGAUCACGGAUGAGAUAUUAUUGAUUCCAAGUCAUGUUGUUUUUGAGAAAUCAUGUAUUUCCUGUGAUAUAAUUGAUAUUGUUGUGAUGAGAUAUUGAUCUAAAGUCAGGCAAAAGUUAUGUUAUUGCUAUGAAGAAUUGCUGCAAAUUAUUCUCAUGUAGCAAGUUCUUUUUAAUAUGAUGUUGUUUUACUUCUAUAAAG